UCGAAUUGUCAAGUAUAUCGAUCGAAACGGAUUCAAUAAUUAGACCCAAUAAAUACAAAAAAACUAACAUACAACAAAAAGACAAAACACAAAAAAGUGCAUUGGAGCAAAACGAAAAAAUGGGGAUGUUUAGGCAAAACUAUAGGCAUAUAUGCAAUAACCAAAACUGCAGUGACAAAACAAAAGUUACAAAGAACAAAAUAUACAAAUUUUACGAACACAAAAAACAUAAAUCGGGCGCGAAAAGUAAAAACACCUAAGCAAUAAAACAAACACCAAUCGAAACAAACGGCCGCGAUCACUAAGUCUGUUAUUACACGCGUCAACUCUUGUUGCUAAUUCUCGGGCGAUUCUCUUUUGCUGUCGCCCAUUACGUUCACACGAGCAAUUUGUGUUGCGCAGCUCCGUUCGAGUUUUUUUCUCAUUCUCUUUCAUAUCAUUUUCUCAAUUUUUUGUGCUGUACGGCUACGCUACAUUUAAUGCCUGUUGCGUUGUUAUUUGGAUAUUGAAGCGUGAGGAUGUUAAUUUACAGUGUUUAUGAAAUUUUAAAAAGUGGUGAGUUGAAUAAAUUAAUUUUUAAAUUUUCUGUUUAUUAAUAUUCGAUUAUUUUAAAUAAAUAUGGCGGAAAAAGUAAAGUGGACAAAAGCACUAAUUGAAAAAUUAAUAUAUUUGGUAGAAGCACAGGAGUAAUUAUAGCAUAAAGUCACCGUUAUAUUUGGACCGGAAUGUAAAAGCUGAAGCUUUUAACAAAAUCUGUGAGACUAAACGUGGCAAACAUAAACGUGUGUGAAAUAAAAAAAAUGGAAAAAUGUAAGAACACAAUAUUUACGAGAAAUUCGUGAAGUGCGCAAUUCACGAAAAAGCGGAGUUGGUAUAAACGAUUUGUAUUCUCUAAAGUUCUGGUGCUUCUCGCUGCUGCAAUUUUUGGAGCAGCAUACCCAAAUUAGGAGGGGGGAAUCUAACUACGAGGAAAUACUUUAUUUUAUUUUAUUACAUUAAUUCAAACAAAUAUUAUACUAUAGGAUCCAGGCGCGUCAGGAAGUCGGGAGUGUGAAAAUAAUAUAUCUCCAACAACAACCCAACCAAUUGUGGCUGAAGAGACUGUUAAUAUAGUAAAUCAUUCAUAUAUACAUAUGUGCAUAAAACAAAUAGUUUUAAGCUUUAUGCUUAUCUACAUUUAUAGACAACUGAAAUAAUGAAUGGCGAAAAAGAAAGGCAGAAGAAAACGGGAAAGCACUGCAUUGACUAAAGUGAGGCAGGAUUUGGCGGCUGUGAGAGAACAAAUCGCUGAAAGACGCAAUAGACCGUAUAGUUGGUUAGGCAAUUUGGUCUCUGCGAAAAUGGAGGAGAUAGUUCCUCACAUGCGAGAAGACGUUCAAUGCCUUAUGCGCCGUUUACUACAAAAAUCAAACAGAUAUGGUGAUUCGCAGUUACAAUCCCCUCAGAACGACUUACUUCAGAAUGCAAUAAGUGGGAUUUUUGAAGAUAAAGAUUUUGAUUUUUGACCGAUUAAUAUAUAUAAUAGAAAAGUUUGAAUUAAAUGUGACUGAAAUAAAAUUUUAAGGCUGGCUUUUUUAAAAUACAAAUAAUGUAGAUAUUUAUAUAUAUAGUUCUAAGAAAUAUUUUUAAUUUAAAUCUGAAAUGUGAUACAU